CCGGAAAGUGACUUGACCGUCUUGAACCCACCGGUUCUCCUCCAUCCAUCUUCGUACAGUGACAAAAGGCAUUUAAUCGGAGAGAAUUAAAAUUAAUUAUACAUACUGUUGAUUUGGCACAGGAUUAAGUUUAAAGCUGAAUUUGUAUAUAAUUACAAGGCAAAAUCUAUAACAAUAAGCCUUUACAAUACGAUAUUUCAUUUUACAAAGCUGUGAUUGUUGUGCAAAUGACAACAUAUGCUUCAGAUUACUAUUAUUGGUAAUUGUACCCCAAUAUAAGAUUGUCCACCAAGAUGAUAUUACGUGAUCUUAGUCUAAUAGUUUUAUAUUUAUUUUCUUAU